rnacentral:rRNA from 1 species
CUACGGGUUGCUGCAGUGGGGAAUAUUGCACAAUGGGCGCAAGCCUGAUGCAGCCAUGCCGCGUGUAUGAAGAAGGCCUUCGGGUUGUAAAGUACUUUCAGCGGGGAGGAAGGGAGUAAAGUUAAUACCUUUGCUCAUUGACGUUACCCGCAGAAGAAGCACCGGCUAACUCCGUGCCAGCAGCCGCGGUAAUACGGAGGGUGCAAGCGUUAAUCGGAAUUACUGGGCGUAAAGCGCACGCAGGCGGUUUGUUAAGUCAGAUGUGAAAUCCCCGAGCUCAACCUGGGAACUGCAUCUGAUACUGGCAAGCUUGAGUCUCGUAGAGGGGGGUAGAAUUCCAGGUGUAGCGGUGAAAUGCGUAGAGAUCUGGAGGAAUACCGGCGGCGAAGGCGGCCCCCUGGACGAAGACUGACGCUCAGGUGCGAAAGCGUGGGGAGCAAACAGGAUUAGAUACCCCUGUAGUC